rnacentral:sRNA from 1 species
CGACCAAGGUUCGACUCGAGCGCCAGCGAGAGAGCGUUGCCGCAGGCAACGACCCGAAGGGCGAAG